UUUCCGUAGGUGAACCUGCGGAAGGAUCAUUAAAAAAUGAGACCUGAUUUGAAGGUCUAUUAAUAAUCCCUACCCUUUGUGAAUUUGUUUGUUUAUUAUGUGUCUUUCCCUGGUUUUGAUGGAGCUUGUAAAAGCGAAAUCAAUCCAGGGGAAUGGCAAAACUUUUUUUUAAAUUAAACUUUUUGUAUUCAUUUGUCUAAAAUUAUUUUUAUAAUAUAAAAACAACUUUUGACAAUGGAUCUCUUGGUUCUCGCAACGAUGAAGAACGCAGCAAAAUGCGAUAAGUAGUGUGAAUUGCAGAAUACGUGAAUCAUCGAAUCUUCGAACGCAUAUUGCACUUUUUUGGUUUACCAAAAAAGUAUGUCUGUUUGAGUAUCAGUAAAAUAUUCUCAUAAAAACUAUUUGUUUUUAUGGUUAUGAGUGUUUUACAACGAUAAACAAGUUGUCUCACUUUAAAUUCUUUGUCUUGUAAAAAAUCAUUAAAAACUGAUUUUUUUUAAAAUUGGAUAAAAUUUUCCCGUAAAAAGGAAUAACCUAAACAAUUUUGAAAAAUUAAUUAGUUUGAUUUUUUCUUGAAUCCAAACAAAGGAAAAAAGUAAAAAUUAACUUGAUCUCAAAUCAGAUAAGAGUACCCGCUGAACUUAAGCAUAUCAAUAGCGGAGGAAAAGAAACUAACUAGGAUUCCCUCAGUAACGGCGAGUGAAGCGGGAAGAGCUCAAAUUUGAAAUCUUCAAGGUUCUACCUUGACGAAUUGUAGUUUAAAGAAGUGUUUUCUGUUGGAGUUUUGGUAAAAGUUCUUUGGAAUAGGACAUCAUAGAGGGUGAGAAUCCCGUAUUUGACCAUUAUUUCCAACUUUGUGAUACACUUUCAAAGAGUCGGAUUGUUUGGGAAUGCAGUCCAAAAUGGGUGGUAAAUUUCAUCUAAAGCUAAAUACUGGCGAGAGACCGAUAGCGAACAAGUACCGUGAGGGAAAGAUGAAAAGAACUUUGAAAAGAGAGUUAAACAGUACGUGAAAUUGUCAAAAGGGAAGCGUUUGACACCAGUGUUGUUUUCUCGAAAAUCAAUUAAAAAUGGUGGGAUUUUGUGUUGUAUUGACUUUAUCAGCUUCUGCACUUUUUUCCUAUCUUUUUUAAUGCACUUUUCGUUUAACAAGUCAACAUCAAUUUCUUUUGUUGUAAAAGGGUCAUUGGAAGGUGGCUUUCUUUUCGGAGAAAGUGUUUAUAGCCUUUGGCCUCUGCAAUCGGAGAGAUUGAGGUCUGCAGCGUAGAUCCUUCGGGGUUAGAUACAUUUGUGCUAAGCUAUAGCCUUUCAUAGACGCUUGUUGACUAUGAUCAGUCGUGUAGCUUACUCGCUUAUGCUAUUUUACCUACGCUUAGGAUGUUG
rnacentral:misc_RNA from 1 species